CCUACGGGUGGCAGCAGUGAGGAAUAUUGGUCAAUGGCCGGAAGGCUGAACCAGCCAUGCCGCGUGAAGGUCAGUGCCCUAUGGGCGUUUAACUUCUUUUGUGCGGGAGCAAUAAUGGUCACGUGUGGCCAGCCGAGAGUACCGUAUGAAUAAGGAUCGGCUAACUCCGUGCCAGCAGCCGCGGUAAUACGGAGGAUCCGCGCGUUAUCCGGAUUUAUUGGGUUUAAAGGGUGCGUAGGCGGUCAGGUAAGUUAGAGGUGAAAGCUCGAUGCUCAACAUCGAAACUGCCUCUGAUACUGUCUGACUAGAGUGUAGUUGCGGAAGGCGGAAUGUGUGGUGUAGCGGUGAAAUGCUUAGAUAUCACACAGAACACCGAUUGCGAAGGCAGCUUUCCAAGCUAUUACUGACGCUGAGGCACGAAAGCGUGGGGAGCGAACAGGAUUAGAUACCCUUGUAGUC
rnacentral:rRNA from 1 species